rnacentral:rRNA from 1 species
ACCGGCAGCUCAAGUGGUGGCCAUUUUUAUUGGGCCUAAAGCGUUCGUAGCCGGUUUGAUAAGUCUCUGGUGAAAUCCCGCAGCUUAACUGUGGGACUUGUUGGAGAUACUAUUAGACUUGAGGUCGGGAGAGGUUAGGGGUACUCCCAGUGGAGCGGUGGAAGGCGAGAAGCCCGGGAGGAAUACCGGAGGCGAAGGCGGUCUACCAGAACGAAAUUGACGGUCAACUGCGAAGGUGUGGGUGUUCAAUAG